rnacentral:lncRNA from 1 species
AAGAAUGAGGAUGCGGGCGCAAAGCUGGCUCAGUUGGUGGAGCAUCUGACUCUUGAUCUCGGGUCAUGAGUUCAAGCCCCUGCUGGGUGUAGAAAUUACUUUGAAACUUUUUUUUAAAAAGGAGAAGAAUGAAGGUCAAAGAAUUGGACAAGAGAUUUGCAAGGACACAUAGUAAGUAACAAAGAAUUGACUCAAAUAGCAAAAGUGUACUCCAAACCCAAGUCAGCGUUCCUCCAGUAGACUAUCUUGUUUCUGAAAGGUAGCUCAGCAUUUACCAUCUUCCAUUUUCUCUCCCUUCCUCACCGACAUGGAAAUCCACACUUCCAUUAAUUGUACUUAAAGCUGGCAUUCUUGAGGAAUUAAUGCACUUUUCCAAAGCUUCAUGGAGAAGCCAAAGUUUAGAUGCAUUCCUACUCAUUUUGUUGUAAUUCCUUCCAAGGUUUAUACCACAUUGAAAGUAUUAUUUGCCAGCAAUUGGACACUUCCAUCUACAACUGUAAAGAAAACGUUUCCUGAUUGGUUGAAUGCUAAAGAAAGUUUACAUCAUGGUACAUGUAGGUUAUCUCAUAACAAUUUUCUCAGAAGAUGUACUUAGAAAUUUGAAACCAAAAUUGGGGCGCCUGGGUGGCGCAGUCGGUUAAGCGUCCGACUUCAGCCAGGUCACGAUCUCGCGGUCCGUGAGUUCGAGCCCCGCGUCAGGCUCUGGGCUGAUGGCUCAGAGCCUGGAGCCUGUUUCCGAUUCUGUGUCUCCCUCUCUCUCUGCCCCUCCCCCGUUCAUGCUCUGUCUCUCUCUGUCCCAAAAAUAAAUAAACGUUGAAAAAAAAAAAAAUUAAAAAAAAAAAAGAAAUUUGAAACCAAAAUGUUUAAUAUUCAUUUAAGACGGUAUUGGUCACUUUGUAUUUCCUAGAAAAUACUAUCUCUAGCCAUUUUUUUUUUGUUUGUGGAAUUUAAAAGCAUGAUUUAGAUUUAUUUUAGUGUGAUUUCAGUCAACGAGUGUUUAUUAAGCCCAUUAAAAAAUACAAAAUGUAAGUCAGUAAGCAAUUCACGGGAAUAUGUGAUUAAAUGACAAAUUGUGGGGCCCACACUGUACUUUGAGAAUAAUCAUACUCCUGAAAUAUAAGGAGACUCUUCUGAUUAGAAGCAGAGAUGCUCAUUAAAGAAACAUGGACAAUAAGUUCAGGUCAGUUGUAUGUAGAAAUCAUAAAGGGCUCUUAAAAGCCUGGCCACAAUCACAUGUAUACAAGAGUAAUAAUAAAAUGAAUGUUUGGGGCACCUUGGGUGGCUCAAUCGGUUGAGUGUCCAACUUUGGUUCAGGUCAUGAUCUCACGGUUUGUGGUUCGAACCCCACAUCAGGCUCUGUGUUGACAGCUCAGAGCCUGGAGCUUCUUCCAAUUCUGUGUUUCCCUCUCUCCCUGCCCCUCCCUUGCUCACACUCUGUCUCUCUGUCUCUCAAAAAUAAAUAAAUGUUAAAAAAAAAAUUUUGUAAAAUAAUAAUAAAAUGUUUUUAUCAAAAAAAUCCUGAGAAGCAAAAGUCAUCAGCUUAAUGCGUUUUGAGAUAAAUUAUACAUACACAUUUAUAAAUUACAAAAUAAAAUCAGUAAAAUUCAUUUUUUAAAAGGACAAGACAGAGGAGUAGAUGCAGAAAAAGAGACUUCAAGAUUUUGAGGUUUUGAGGAGAAAAGUGAGAUUUAAGAAAAAUUAGUCUGGGGGCACCAGGGUGGCUCAGUUGGUUAAGCUGUGCCGACAGCUCAGAGCCUGGAGCCUGCUUCAGAUUCUGUGUCUCCCUCUUUCUGUGCCCCUCCCUCGCACUCUGCCUCUAUCCAAAAUAAAUAAACUUUUUUUUUUUUAAUUUUAAAAGAAAAAAAGAAAAAUUAGUCUGACAAUAGUACCUAGUCUGAGCUAUAAGGACAGGUAAAUAGCCAGGUGCUUCCCAUCUAAGUCUGUGAUAAUGUGAUAAUGAAGGCAUGUAAUCUUACAGUUGAUGAACUCUGAGAGCAGACAAAUGUUGGUUUAAAUCCUGGCUCUGCCACUUACCAAAUGUUUGCCUUUGGGCAAGACACUAGAGUACUCUAAGACUCCAUUUUCUCAUCUGUAAAAUGGGGAUGAUAAUCCACACCAUGGAAUUGUCAUGAGAAUUAAGUGAUGUGGUAUAUAGGAAUCACGUAGCAUCUGGCACAUAGGAAACACUCAGUAACUUUUAACUGGUGUGAUCAUCAUGACGAUUAAGAAUGGUAGCAGUGUGACACGCCUGGGCGGCUCAGUUGGUUAAAUGUCCGACGCUUGAUUUCGUCUCGUCAUGAUCUCACGAUUCAUGAGUUCGAGCCCCCGCAUUGGGCUCUGCACUCUCAGGGCAGAGCCUGCUUUAGAUCCUGUGUCUUCCUCUCUCUCUGCACCUCCCUUGCUCGUGCUCUCUCUCUCUCUCUCAAAAAUAAAUCAUAAAACAUUAAAAAAUAAUAAUAAAAAGAAAGGUAGCAGUGGAAAUGGAAAGAAAAGGGACAAAGGUCAUUUUGAGGGCAGUAAAAGACUCCGGACUUUCUAACUGAUCAUGGAAGCCGAAUUAUUUAGGAAGUUGGUAUAGCCUAAAACCUGGCUUGAUCUUGACCUUCAUUCCAGAUGCAUCACUCUGAAUCAGUUCUGUCCACAUAGGGAAAAAUAUAGCCAGGACCAGACUCCAAAGACCAGAUUUAACAGCAUUAUCCUAUAGAAACUUCCUACAGUGAAAGAAAUGGUCUUUAUCUGAACUGGAAAGUCUGGCCGGUGCAACUGAGAAAGUGAUUUUUUUCAUUUUAAUUUCAUCUUACAACUUAAUUCACAAAUCUAAUUGGAAUUCAAUUUAAAUAGCCACACGUGACUAGUGGCUACCUUCCUAGACACUAGCACGGCUGCUAUCAUAUCCCAGACAGUCAGUGUUUGGGAUGUAAAGGAAUCCUGAAGUUCAGGUGCACUGGGUAUUGCUGGCUGGCGACUAUGAGUACAGAGGAUAUGUUCGAAGGAUCUUUGCAAAAGUAGGAGUAAAUCAGAACAAAAGCUGAGUUCAUCACCAUAUUAGGGCCAGAAAGUUCAACUCCUCACUUUGCAAUUCGAAGGUAACUAUCAAAGACGCUCACAUUACCCAAUAGUCUACAUAAAUUGGAAGGAGGGAUAGAGAAAAAGAGUCCUCCUUUUUUUUGAGAAUUUUUUUUACUUCUUCAAAUUUUUAUUUAAAUUCUAGUGAGUUAACAUACAGUGCAAUAUUAGUUUCAGGAGUAUAAUUCAGUGAUUCCUCACUUACAUACAACACUUAGUGCUCAUCACAAGUGCCCUACUUAAUGCCCAUCGCCCAUGUAGCCCAUCUCCCACUCACCUCCCUCCAUCAACCCUCAGUUUGUUCUCUGUCUUUAAAAAUCCCUCAUGGUUUGUUUCCCCUCUCUCUUUUUCCCCCCUCACAUAUGUUCAUUUGUUUUGUUUCUUAAAUUCCACAUAUGAGUGAAAUCAUAUGGUAUUUGUCUUUCUCUGACUUAUUUUGCUUAGCGUAAUACACUCUAGCUCCAUCCGUGUUGUUGCAAAUGGCAAGACUUCAUUCUUUUUGAUGACUUCGUGAUAUUUCAUUGUAGAUAUGUUCCACAUCUUCUUUGUCCAUUCAUCAGUCGAUGGACGUUUGGGCUGGCUCCACUGCUAUAAACAUUGGGUUGCAUGUACCCCCUUCAAAUCUGUAUUUUUGUAUCCUUUGUGUAAAUACCUAGUAGUGCAAUUGCUGGGUCAUAGGAUAGUUCUAUUUUUAACUUUUUGAGGAACCUCCACACUGUUCUUCAGAGUGGCUGUACCAGAUUGCAUUCCCACCAAGAGUGCAAGAGUUUCCCUUUUUCUGCAUCCUCACCAACACCUGUUGUUUCUUGUGUUGUUAAUUUUAGCCGUCCUGACAGAUGUGAGGUGGUAUCUCACUGUAGCUUUGAUUUGCGUUUCCCUGAUGUUGAGUGAUGUUGAGCAUCUUUUCAUGUGUCUGUUAGCCAUCUGGAUGUCUCCUUUGGAAAAGCGAAAAGACCACCUUCCAGUCAGAAGUUUAGGUCCACCUGCUCUUAGUCUGUGUGUAAAUAGAGAUUAUGGUGAAGGAGGCAAAGGGAAGUAGUUUGAUUUCACUUCCUCUUUUUGCCUUCCCUACAUAUCCCUCUACUUCACUUCCAAAUUUAACCCCUUGGCUAAUUACUUCCCUCUCCUAUCUUCUUCCACAGUAGCGAUAGCACAGAAAGGAACAGAGGCAUUCUGGGAAGUUUCUUUGUCUUUCAUAAGUAAGGUAGAGGAACCAGAAAUGGACAAAUAGAGAAACUGAACUGAGAUUGGCAGUUGUAACAAAAGCUUCAGCUGAUCCCUGGGGCAGGGGCGGGGCACUGGAGUUAGAAUGUCCCUGAAGAGUUGUCCUGAAUUGAGGCAGAGAGGCUGGUCUUUUGAAUUCCCCCGGGCCCCAACAUCAGUCAGUCACUGAAUGCAAGCUGUCCCUAGGGAGGAGUCACAGACUUAGGCAAGGCAGCUCCCUUUGGCAGGGGACGAUGCCCGAGAAAGAAGGAAUUCCUGGAGAAGACACUGGCUGUUUGUCUCAGCAACCAAUAUUCCCACCAUAGAGAGACAGAUUGAGACCCUAAGAGUGGGGUGGUGGGGUCCAUCCAGGCUGUGUGCCACAGUAGUCACCGAGGCUCUUUCCCUGGCUUUGCCACCAGCAAGUGAGCAUGAAUAAUCCACUCAGCUUUCUUAAGCUCUCAUUUCCUUAUCUGGAUACAAGGGAAAUGGAAGAGCUGAGUUCUAACUGAUAUAUUUGGCACUCUGGCUUUUUAUUUUAAGAAUUAUUAUUCUAAUUUUCUAUUUACAAAUUUGCAGUUUUUUAAAUAAAAUUUUCAAGGAAGAACACAAAGGGGAGAUUUAUAUGGAACUUUUUUUCUGAUUUUCAUAAAAACAGAUGGUUCCUAUCAAUACCCCGCUUCAUUUAAAAAAAAACCUCUAAGUUAAGGGACACCUGGGUGGCUCAGUCGGUUAAACAUCCCACUCUUGGUUUCAGUUCAGGUCAUGAUCUCAUGGUUCAUGGGCUCAAGCCCUGAGUGGGGCUACAUGCUGACAGUGCAGAGCCUGCUUGGGAUUCUCUCUCUCCCUCUCUCUCUGCCCCUACCCCACCUCAAAAUCAAUAAAUAAACAUUAAAAAAAAAAACCCUCAAAGUCAGUACUUAAUUUCCAUAAACGGAGGAUUUCUGACUUUUGUUCAUCACGCUACAUCUUCACAAGGUAUCUAAGUUUUUCUGUGCCACCUAGCUUUGUCACUAGACUAUGGAAUCUAUUGCUUUAUGUUGUGAUCAUGAGUUCAUCUAUUCACUUUUAAACACAAGUACCUGCAUGCAUUGCAUUUACGCACUCACACACACAUACACAAAGACCAACUUUCACUGAUGAAUCUAAAAAGGAUUUAAGAAUACAGUCUUAUCAACGUCAGUAUGAUUGAGUGGGACUGCCUUUAAGCCAUCCCUUGGGAAAAAGUUUACAUCCCAUUCUUAAAGGUCUCCAAGAAGCUCUUUAAGAUUGUGAUAUAUCCUUUAUUCAGUGAUCAGCAAUCCUCACAGUGAGGAAGUUCUUUUUUGUAUCUAACCCAAAUCUCUUCCACUGCAAUUUCAAACCACUUCCUUUUCCAUUCUUACUGAAUUAGGAAAGGAGGUGGAAUCAUUGUCACCUGCUUCUUAUAAUUUUCGUAUGUUUAACUUUUUAGAAUUUAUUUAUACCUAAACAUUCUUCCCAUAUGACAUUUUAUCCCACUUAACGUCUGUUUUUUAACUCAUGAGAAAUAUCAUUCAAUCUUUUUAGUAUAUUUUCUAGCUUCCUUAUAUAUUCCCUAAACUAUGGAGACCAAAUUUAAAACACCGUGAGUGAUGAAGUCUUUGUUAUUUGGGGGGUUUGGCAUUGUUACAAUCUAACAUGGGUUAGCUUUCACAUUGCCUUACACUAUCCCUACAUUAAAAAUGUAUGUCAGAUUGUUUAACCUCAAGGAAGAAGCAAUUUUCCCACAAGACCUAUUUAUAAAGUAGGAUAGUAUCUUCCCUUAUAUGGGAAGCUAAUGUAAACUAUUAAUGACAUGUAUCAGGUGCAAAAUGUUCUCAGUGCUAACUCUUUCCAAAUAACCUUUAAAAUAACAAGACUCGUUUUGUCUAUUAGAGUUUGGUUUUGAAAGACAAACAUUUUAACUAUUAUUAGUUCAACAAUCAAUAGUCGGGAAGUAACUGUUUUCUCUAAAUGUAAAUGCAGUCUUCCGGGCUCCUGGGUGGCUCAGGCUUUUGAGCGUCCAACUCUUUACUCUUGAUUUCAGCUCAGGUCAUGAUCCCAGGGCCAUGGAAUCCAGCCCCGUGCUCAACAUGGAGCCUACUUAAAAUUCUCUCUCCUUCUGCCCUUCUCCCCAGCUGGUGUGUGCCUUCUCUCUCUCUAAAAAAAAUUUAAUGAAGUCUUCAUGACCUCAUUGGCUACUGUGGAUUUCUCAACAUUGUUCCUUGCAUGUGACAGUGUGUUACAUGUAACAUCUUUCCUGAUGUUUACAGAAUUCGAAGGAAAAAUGAAUGGAGUAUAUAUAAAUAUAGUAAAUAUAAAAUUAAGAUAAUUAUUAAAUUAACAUCAAAAUAUAGUAAAUAUAAAAUUAAAAAAGAAUUACCCACACAAAGAUGAAACAAAUCUCAAAUUUUGUAUUUUGAAGAACAUAUGGAGAAAGUAUAAAAAAUUAUCAUUAACUUUCUACCUGAUAUGUCAAAGGUAAAGACAUCGUAAAACACUUGCAGUGGUUUCCAUAUUUUAUAUAAAGUAUAAAUGGUAUAGUUACACAGAAAAUAAGUAUAUCAUAUAUGCUUGGGUUUUAGGACAGAGCCUCCUUUUAUACACCUCUGCUUGGUAACUUUAUCAUCUCCUUCUGAAAGCUGGCUACCAGCAAAUGCAUGUCAAUAUCAGGGUCUUAUGACAUUAUAAUUAGGGUAACCUCUGGUCAGUAGGUUGACAAUCACCUUUACCUCUUGGAUUCAUAUCGCCUGACCCUCUCCCAGUUCUGACUGAUGAGCACUGGGCUGACCCAGCUGAUGCUGCUGUUGUAAGUACCGCACAUGUGCCUACACUAUAUACUGACUGAGAAGGGCAGCUGAGUGGUUGUGUAAAAUCCCUUUGCACAAAAACGUAGCUCCCAUUUCCAACCAGCUGUACAUUCAAACAUGUGAAGAAGGCUUAAUAGUUUGGUAGUAGGUGUUUAUAUGCAUUAAUUUAUUUAAUUCUAUUAUAAACUUUUGAUGUAAGAAUUAUUGUCACUCCCCUACAGCUUAGAAAAUUAAUUUUGGAGAGCCACAUAUCCAGUAAGGGGCAGACACAGAAUUAAAAUUUCUGACUCCAGUACACGGGUGUCUCCAAUAAUUCUCUGAAUAUGUCCCCACCCCCAUGUUUAGGCAGGAUAGUUUGGUGGUUCACAGUAAGGACUGUGGAGUUAAACUGUCUGAUUUCAAAACCACUUCUCAGUUUAUGACCUACUUGACAUCUCUAAGCUUCGGUUCAUUUAUAAAAUAAAUAUAAUGAUAGUAUAUAACUCAGAGAGUUGGUGUAAGUAUUAAAUGCACUGAUAUGUGUAAAGUGUUUAGAAUAAUGCUUACCAUGUAGUAAAUGCCAUUAAGUUAGCUAUUAUUAUUUUCUUUUUAUCAUGCAGUAAAGAAAUUCUACUGAAAAGCAAAUGAAAUACAGAGAGGAAGAGUGGUAGUAAUACACUAAUUCAGUAGCCCAUCGUAGAGUCUCAAAAACUGGUAACUAAUCAUUCAGUGGGCCCACAGGGAAAUGGAGACAAUGAGCAAGUCUGACUGUUGGGCAAGGGAGAUGGAGAAGUGCUUCAGGAGAGCAUCACUGGGGAACAAAGGGCUCUAAGAAUCUAGGGAGGGUUGAAUCAACAGGAACAAAGCACACAGAUUCUGCUUUAAAAUUGUGCUGAAAGUCAGCUCUGAUUGUAUUUUAUAUUAUGUUGUUCUUGACAGCUUUAUAGCAUCAUUUGGGUCCACCAUAUUUUAGAUAUAACAGUUGUUUCAUGUUGAUUCACUAUUCUCCCAGAAUGUCUAUUUAGUUAAAAAAAAAAAAAAAAGCUCUUUAACUCAGGCACACUAAUGGAAUUUUGAAACAUCACUGUUCAUUUGUAUUUAACAUUAAAUAGGUGAGGAGAAAUAAUUAUAAAACUACUUGGAGUUAUAAAUGGGACCUCUAUUAAAUCUAGGCCUUAAAUAUUCACUAGUUCUUAAUUUGGGUCAAGAUCUGGUGUCUAAUAAAGUCCACAGUAUGUUCGACAGCAUUCCAAAUAUCCUUUAUUCUUCCUGAUUCGACUUUCAACUUCUGUAUUUAACGUUCUACUUCUUUGUCAGUUAGUGCCUCAGAGGACAGUAUUCUGCCUAAGUAACAGAUUUCAUGGCAGCUUUCAACUCUGUAUUGUGCCUAGUACUAAGAUCUUAAAACACUCUAAUCAUCUUGUCACAUUUUUAAAAUUAAAGUGUUGAUGGCAUGAUCAAAGGCUGAGAUUCCAUUGAGAACUCUACCCAGGAUUUAAUCUGCCUCUGACUCUCUGCACAUACUAGUGGCAAACAUAACAAAUUUUGUUAGUUUGCCAUUAAUCUUUAUGCAAAGAAUUAUAUUAUGCACAGGAAAGGGUCACGAAAGUCACUAAAUCAUCGGAGUAAAGAGAAAUCCAUUUAUCCCUUCACUCCUCCACUUGCUGCACAGAGGGAUUCAGAUUGCCCACUACCAGCCCAAACGACCAACCACGAUAUUAGAACAGUAGGAAAUGAAACGCCUACUUCACAACACAAGACGAGUGAGAGUAUACCAUAUUGUUAUAAAUGCUUCAGUGAAUUUUUUUUUUUUUUUUCAUUCAGUGAAUUUUUAAUGGUGUCUAAUAUUCACUCCUUUGGAUCCUUCCAAUAAAAUAAAUCCUAUACUGAGGAUAGUAUACUAUAAUUGCAUGUGUGUUUGUUAGUGUAUCAAAGAUACAAUAUUAAUUUAAUCCAAUUUUUUGUUUAUAGUAAGCCUCACUCAGUGGUUGCCACUGUGCUGGUACUUUGGUCAAUACAAAUAAAUAAAAACUAAGAUAUUUCAGGUGUGUAUAGUUAUCACCGUUUACGAAGCAUUUUCAGUGAAAAAGUUUCGUUUGUCCUACAUAGUAAUCCUGUGUGCUAGUUUGAACACUGUCGAUAUUAUUUGCCUUGUUUUAGAGAUUAAAAAUCAAAGCCAAAAACCAAGUAAAGAACAAUUAAAAUAAUAUGCCUAGGCUCACAGUUAGUAAGUUGCAGAGCUUUGGUCUCUUGACUCAAAAAAAUAACAUGCUUUCUGCUCUUAACUGGCCUUAGGUUCAUGGCUGUGGCAAAAAUAUUCACAGAAAUGCUGCCUUAAAACCUCUUGAAACAAGACAGACAGUAAAUACAACACAGUUGCCCAAAUGAAGAGAAAAGACAACAGACAUUCAUCAAGUUGGUAAGUAAGAAAAAUCUUGUGGCUUCUUUUGGUGGGAAAGGAAAACUUUCCUUAGACUUGGAAUUUCAUGGCUUCUAAUUCUUCAUGUGUUCCUAAAAUGUGUAGAGGUAGACAAGGAAAAGCCUGGAUUCCAUGUGUGGCCAGCACAGAUGAAAUCACAGCAUUAUGCAUCCCCUCGUGGGUAGGAGAUACUGACCAGACUGGCAUGCCAUGGGGGAGGGAGGUGUGUAUUAGAGAGUAACAGGUAGUAGUGGAAGAUGAAGCAGAACAGAUUAAAAGGUUUUAGAGAGCUUUAUGUCAGGCAAGACAUUUGAUCCAGAUCCAGCAAAUCACACAAAGUUGGAGUAAAGGAAAAGAUAAUCCAGCAGCACGAUGUCAGAUGAAUUAGAAGACUCAUCAAAAUAAGGUAGGCUAAAUGGUAAAACUUUACAUUAGAGAUAACACUGAGUCAUUGAUAAAGAAACCAAAGACAAUUCAGUACAUAGUGAUCAGUAUGUGCUAAAUGUAAAAAAAAAAGAAAAAAGGUUGAACCCAGUGAUGACAGUUAUCUGUAGGAUGAUGGUGCCGUUGACUAAAUAGGAAAGCUAAUUUGUAAAGCUAUGUUUCAGUGUAUUUGGGAGUAAAGGUGAAUGCAUUGAUAACGUCUGUAAAAUGGCUUCCCUUUUACUGAAAACAAGCUAUAUCCUGUUUUCAAGAUAGUUUCUUUAAAUUGAAGAGGGAGGAAGGAUUGACCAUGAUUAGUUUGAAUCUUUUAUAAAACAUCAUACUAUACUAUAUAGUAUAACAUACUGCUAUAUCCUUAAGAGACAACUCUGAGGCACAUUUUGAAAGUUUUAACAUUUACAAAUGACAAUGGUUUUAAGAACAUAGGGACAAGACCAGGGUGCCUGGGUGGCUCAGUUGGUUAGGCAUCCAACUCUUGGUUUCGGCUCAGGUCAUGAUCUCUAGGUUCAUGAGACAGAACCCUGCCCCCGCCUCCAUGCUUGUGGCACUGAGACUGCUUGAGAUUCUCUCUCUCCCUCUCUCUCUGCCCCUCCCCUGCUUGGGUAUGCAUGCCUGCGCAUGCACUCUUUCUCUUUCUCUCUCUCUCUCGUUAAUAAACUUUAAACUUCUUUUUUAUUAAUUAAUUUAUUUUUUUAAUAUGAAAUUUAUUGUUAAAUUGGUUUCCAUACAAUACCCAGUGCUCAUCCCAACAGGUGCCCUCCUCAAUGCCCAUCACCCACUUUCCCCUCCCUCCCACCCCCCAUCAACCCUCAGUUUAUUCUCAGUUUUUAAGACUCUCUUAUGGUUUGCCUCCCUCCCUCUGUAAAAGAAAGGUACAUUCAGUGACAUCGCAUUGUUUUUAAUCUAUUAUGUGUUGACACAGAAUCUAAAAAUUAUCUCAUAUUCUGUGAUAACAUUAGGAGUACUUCCUGAGGUUAAAAAAAAGAUUAAAACUUUUUUUCUUUUCCUUCCCCUCCCCCAUGGUCUUCUGUUAAGUUUCUCAGGAUCCACAUAAGAGUGAAAACAUAUGGUAUCUGUCUUUCUCUGUAUGACUUAUUUCACUUAGCAUAACACUCUCCAGUUCCAUCCACGUUGCUACAAAAGGCCAUAUUUUAUUCCUUCUCAUUGCCACGUAGUAUUCCAUUGUGUGUAUAAACCACAAUUUCUUUAUGCAUUCAUCAGUUGAUGGACAUUUAGGCUCUUUCCAUAGUGUUGGCUAUUGUUGAAAGUACUGCUAUAAACAUUGGGGUACGAGUACCCCUAUGCAUCAGUACUUCUGUAUCCCUUGGGUAAAUUCCUAGCAGCGCUAUUGCUGGGUCAUAGGGUAGAUCUCUUUUAAUUUUUUCAGGAACCACCACACUGUCUUCCAGAGUGGCUGCACCAGUUUGCAUUCCCACCAACAGUGCAAGAGGGUUCCCGUUUCUCCACAUCCUCUCCAGCAUCUAUAGUCUCCUGAUUUGUUCAUUUUAGCCACUCUGACUGGCGUGAGAUGAUAUCUCAGUGUGGUUUUGAUUUGUAUUUCCCUGAUGAGGAGUAAACUUUAAACUUCUAAAAAAAAAAAAAAAAUAAAAAAAAAAAAAAAAAAAAAAAAAAAAAAAAACAGAAAGAAGACCAAGUACCCAGGUGCUUUGGAUGGAACUAUAUUUCUAAGGGCUUCUCCUUGCAGAAAAAACUCAUAGAUAUUAGGGACCUAAUAUGCACAGGCAUUAUGUUUGUGGGGCAUCUGCACUUUUCUUCCUUUCCAUAGCUCUAGGGAGCUCUUAUAAUCACCAUCAAUAAGGAUGUUAAUGGUGUGGAAAAGGAACAUCAAAGAGGCUGAGUAAGGUCACUGUGUGGAUGGCAGAGUGUGGAUUCAAACCUCAGUCUUCUGCGGGGUUUUUUGUUUUGUUUUCUUUUCUUUUCUUUUUUGUAUUUGGAAGAGUAUAGUUCUUCCAUAAACACAUUAUGAAAACAGGGAAAGGACCCUGCCAUAAAGUGUCCUUAUAAAAGAGAAAAGGAGGAAAAGGUAUAAGACAGAAAAGGACAUCACUGUGUUUAAAGACCAAAAGCAUAUGUAGAAAAUAGGAUUAAUUUUAAGGUAAAAUGAUAUAAGCUGGAUAAAUAUAUGCUAAAAGGAUGUAAAAGAAAGGUACAUUCAGUGACAUCGCAUUGUUUUUAAUCUAUUAUGUGUUGACACAGAAUCUAAAAAUUAUCUCAUAUUCUGUGAUAACAUUAGGAGUACUUCCUGAGGUUAAAAAAUAGAUCAAAAUAAGUGAUAAAACGUUUUAAUCUGAAAUUUUAAUAUUUUCCCUAUUAUUUACAAAUUGGGUAUGAUUUUUUCCAUCUAUGAGUGUCAGACACUGUAUUUUGCCUCUCUACCUCAGUAGACUUGUUGUUCUCCAACAUUUACCUCAAUACAGGGCCAUUAUCCACUCACAGCUUAGUCAUGAAGUUCAAGAACAGAAACUCAGGCAACUGUCCAUAUAAAUGAACACAUUUGACCCGUAUAGCACUAUAGAAAACAAAAUGUUUCUUUCUAAUGGAUGAAUCACAACAUAAUAGGAACCUUCCCACAAAAGAGCUUGACUCUUUUCUAACUUGCAGUUUCAAAAUAAUUUCAUAAGCACAAAAGAUUUUAGUUUGUAUUGGAUUUAGGAGAAGAAAUACCUCAUAGUGAAAUCUUUUGCUAGAAUUUGACUCUAUUUCAGUGGCCCUCAACCUUGGCCAUGCAUCAGAGUCACCUGUGAAGCCUUAUAAAAACGCUUGCUGAAUCAGAAACUCCAAAGGUAUAACCUGGGCUUCUUUGCCUCAAAAAAAAAAAAAAAAAAAAAAAAAAAANNNNNNNNNNNNNNNNNNNNNNNNNNNNNNNNNNNNNNNNNNNNNNNNNNNNNNNNNNNNNNNNNNNNNNNNNNNNNNNNNNNNNNNNNNNNNNNNNNNNNNNNNNNNNNNNNNNNNNNNNNNNNNNNNNNNNNNNNNNNNCCCCCCCCCCCCAGAAGGAGAAUUUGACCACUAGGAAGAGUUACCUUGGUUUCAGGACUCCACGAAACAGCUGUUGCUCUACAAUCUGCACACCUCCAGGCUAUCUUACUUCCAGCAGCUGCAGUAAAUUCCAAGCAUAUUUCCAAUGAACACCAACCCAACCUUUGAAUCUAAAUCCCUCCAAGUCUCUCCUAAAGUUUAACUGUAAAUGUUCACUUUGGUUCAACUUUCCAUUUGCCUUCUAUUAGUCAGCCGUCAUGGUUUAAACAUUUAUAGAUAGAAAAGCUCAGAUACGAUCCAUAUUUUAUUGUAAUCAGAUGUUAACUGGGUUGCUGAUGCUAUCAAGUAUUUGACAACCAUGGACACGUGAAUCUUGGCUUUUUUUUUUUUUUUAAAGUGUCAAUGGAACAUGUUCAGUAUUUAUUGGGACUGCACUGUUGCUGUUGUGGCAUGUACCGGGCAGACAGUAACGCCCUUUGCUCAUAUUCUAAUAGGAAAGCAUUCAUUUGACAAAUGUUUAUCGAGUGGGAACAAAGGACGUAAUCUCUGCCUUCUGGGACACCAAAAGUCUACAAGAAGAAGCAGACGUAAACAAAAACUUUCCCUUCAAUUUGUUAAGUAUCAUGAUAGAAGUAGUUACAAAGGGCCAUGUGAUCACAAAGGAAAAGC